rnacentral:rRNA from 1 species
UACAGAGGUCCCAAGCCGUUGUUCGGAUUCAUUGGGCGUAAAGGGUGUGUAGGUGGCGCCGUAAGUCGGGUGUGAAAUUUCGGAGCUUAACUCCGAAACUGCAUUCGAUACUGCGGUGCUUGAGGACUGGAGAGGAGACUGGAAUUCAUGGUGUAGCAGUGAAAUGCGUAGAGAUCAUGAGGAAGACCAGUGGCGAAGGCGGGUCUCUGGGCCGAAAUUGACGCUGAGGAGCGAAAGCGUGGGGAGCAAACAGG